rfam:Asian citrus Psyllid, Diaphorina citri - Florida Strain, whole genome shotgun sequence.
GCCUAGUUAGCUUAGUUGGUAGUGCGUCUGCCUUGUAAGCGCUAGGCCGCGGGUUCGAUUCCCGCCCGGGUA